GUGUACACUUCUGUAGCACAUAUACUAAAAAUGGAAUGGUUCAGAGAAGAUUAGCAUGGUCCCUGUGAAAAGAUGACAUGCAAAUUUGUACAGCAUUCCAUAUUUUU
rnacentral:snRNA from 1 species